CCUACGGGAGGCUGCAGUGGGGAAUAUUGCACAAUGGGGGAAACCCUGAUGCAGCGACGCCGCGUGAGUGAAGAAGGAAUUCGUUAUGUAAAGCUCUAUCAGAAGGGAAGAAAAUGACGGUACCUGAGUAAGAAGCCCCGGCUAACUACGUGCCAGCAGCCGCGGUAAUACGUAGGGGGCAAGCGUUAUCCGGAGUUACUGGGUGUAAAGGGAGCGUAGACGGCAGUGCAAGUCUGGAGGGAAAGGCGGGGGCGCAACCCCCGGACUGCUCUUGAAACUGUACGGCUGGAGUGCAGGAGAGGUAAGUGGAAUUCCUAGUGUAGCGGUGAAAUGCGUAGAUAUUAGGAGGAACACCAGUGGCGAAGGCGGCUUACUGGACUGUAACUGACGUUGAGGCUCGAAAGCGUGGGGAGCAAACAGGAUUAGAUACCCUUGUAGUC
rnacentral:rRNA from 1 species